rnacentral:rRNA from 1 species
CGGGUGAGUAACACGUGAGUGACCUGCCUUUUAGACUGGAACAACUUACCGAAAGGUGAGCUAAUGCCGGAUGAGUUAUAUAAGUGCAUGUUUAUAUAGGAAAAGUUGGGAGACCUGACGCUGAAAGAUGGACUCGCGUCCCAUUAGCUAGUUGGUAGGGUAAUGGCCUACCAAGGCGACGAUGGGUAGCCGGCCUGAGAGGGUGGCCGGCCACACUGGGACUGAGACACGGCCCAGACUCCUACGGAAGGCAGCAG